rnacentral:lncRNA from 1 species
GGAGAGCAAGGAGGACGCGGGGCGCAGGGAACGAGCAGCCCUGCACGCCUCCCCCAGCAGGACCCGGGCGGCCCAGGUGUCCCGGCCACCUCCUCUCACUGCCUAGCAGGAGUGUGCUGCCAGGUGCUCACACCUCCGGAUACCCCUGCCAACUCCCUGCUCUCAGCUCUGGGCCCAGAUGCACUUGCCCCUUUAAGUGGCUUCCCGCUGGGUGCCUUCUCCCACCUGCCUCCUCACCCGGGGGAGCUGCAAGUGAGUCCCACACCCCUGCACCCAGAAUCUCCUGCCCUGGAUUUGAGUCUCGCCCCUGCUGGUUUUAAAUCUGCCUCCUCUACUAACGCUCGGGCGCCGUGCAGGGCUGGGCUGAACAGGCGCCCCAUGUGGCUUGAGUCCCAGUGCCUCAGCUUCUUGUGUGGGAGGUGGGAAAACAGCGCCCACCUGGUUGUCAGUGCAUGGAUGGCCCCAGUCUUGGAGGACUUCCUGCACUGUCCCCCGUGGAGACCAACUGCCCAGCACCAGUGGUUAUUCCUUAUUCCUGUGUCUGGAGAAGGCAGUGGGACACCGGCUCACUGAGGAAAAUUGUGUUUGGAGGCCAUCGUCUCUGAGUUGCAAAGGCACAGCCUAAGACUGGCAGGUGAGGGGGCGGUGCCUUCGGAAGGCUCAGUCUCUGCCUGGUUUCCCAAUGGACUUCCGAGACGCCCCUUGGGAGCUGUGAGCGGGACUCACGGCUUUGGACUCCCACCACAUGUUCAUAAGCUUACACAAUGGCGUGCCACCCACACUGGCUGUGACAUGCAGGCCACCCUUGGGGGCACAGUGGUGCGCUCCCACGGGGCAGUGGCUUCAUUAUUUCGCUGCUGUGUGCCUGGCGCCUGGCACCAGGUGGUGGUAAGUUGGACCCCGAUGGAUGCAGAUUUAUUGAAUGAAUGCCAUGUGACAUGACUGUGCUCGUCCAUCUAGGAGGCUCACAUACAUCCACACCCCUCCACAUUCUUCCCCCAAACUA